CUGCCCUCAAGCACGGCUUGUGUGUUGGGCCCCCGUCCCGGUUCUUUAAGCCGGGACGGGCCCGAAAGGCAGCGGCGGCACCGUGUCCGGUCCUCGAGUGUAUGGGGCUCUGUCACCCACUCGUGUAGGUCCGGCCGGCGGCCAGCCUCUUCAACCAAACUUUUAACCAGG
rnacentral:misc_RNA from 1 species